rnacentral:lncRNA from 1 species
CUCGGUGCAUGAAGCCUGCUUCUCCCUCUGCCUAUGUCUCUGCCUCUCUCUGUGUGUGUGUGUGUGUGUGUAACUAUCAUAAAUAAAUAAAAAAUUUUAAAAAGACUAAGAUUAAAUUAAAAGAAUUAAUUAGAUUGACUAUCCUUCUACAACCCACAGAAAUCCUAAAUCAGAGGUAGUUUGUGCCAGGGGAGUGUGUCAGGUGUUGUCUGAUGACAGUGUUAGCCCCUUUCUCUUCUCAUCCAACGUCCACUGUAUCUCCUGGUGGUCUUCAGAGGCCAGUUCCUGUCAUGACAGAAAUAUGGCUGUAGUAGGACAAUGUAAAGAGGGAGAAGGGAUGGGAUGGAUGGAUGGAUGGAUGGAUGGAUGGAUAUUGACUCAACAAUAGAAGAAAAUUCUUACCACAUUCACCAGGAUCACAUUCUUACCCCUGAAAAAUUACCAGAGUAAGCAGAAUACUAUUGUGCUGAUAAACCUCAGCCAAAUCACGGUCCACAUCUAAAGUUUAAUUUGGUUCAAUUUCACCCAAACCACUUGAAUACUAAGCAAUGGGGAAAAGAGUAAAAUGAAUGGUGAUCGAUAUACAUUCAUACGCACACAUACAUGUAUACAUAAUCAUACACACACAUACAUAGAGACACUGUUACGGAGGAAUAUACACCAAGGUGUAAAGAGUACAUUUCCACAGAGUAGGGGCAACAUGAAUCGGUACACUUUUUCUUUCAGUUUGCAUGUAUUUUGUAAUGUUUCUAUACCAAUCAAUACACUGUAUCUAGUUUGUGCAUGAGUUCAACUUCUACUCACAAAGUGCUUUCAUGUUGUAUACAUAUCUUACUGGUCUUGAUGGUUACCUGGGAUCCUACUUCUAUGAGAUUUUGUUCCCCAAUGAUUUGACCUUGAUCAAUCUUCUACUUAUAUUUCGUCCUAUAAUAGUCACACCUCUCUGUCUGUUCUUUCAAUUAUGUCUCAUUAAAGUUGAUCUUUGAUUGUUCAAGACUGACACUAGUCAAUUAAACACUUUGCCCUAAAGGCAAUUGGGCUCAAUUAAACUCUCUCACCUUACCCAGGGUCUUCUUCACACAGAUAUGGGUCACAGCUGAUCAAGGUAAUGAUGCCUUCUGUCAAAUCCCAAAAAAAUGUGCAUAAUGCCUUGUUAAAAUCAAACUGAACUCAAGCCUAUGGAGUGACAUCAGCAAGAGGGUUGAAUAAGAAGCUCAUCUCUUGUUCUCCCACAGAUAUACUGACUUUAUAAAAAUAAUAAAGAGAUCAAAAUACCUCAAAGUAGUUACAGUAGGCCAGGCAAGCACAACGUUGAGAGGAGCUGCAUUGAAAUGAGUAAGGAAAGCCUUUGCUCUCUACCCACAGCUGCUCUGCCCCCAAGUUGGCACAGCCUCUUAUGACUGACAGAAAGUACCGAACUUCUAUCUCAGGAGUUAAAAAAAAAAAAAAGAAAGGAACAUGAAUGCAGUGUUCCAGCUUUUGGAGGAUACUGGAGGAUUGAUUUCUGUCUAGCCUGAUGUGGGGUGCAAACAGAAUCAGCAUACUCUGGAUGCCUGGGAGCCACUGAGAAUGGUGGAGAGCUGAGUAACAUGUGCAGCACCAGAGAGCCUGCAGCACCACAAACAGACACCAGAUGAAGGAAGAGGUUACAAGUUCCUGAAAAAAAAGGUAAAUCUAACUGGAAGAUCACACAGAGAAGAUGUGUCCCAGAGUCUUCAACUAGGUUGACUGGUGAAGGAAUCUCCCUGUACAUAGCCAGACUAAGAAGACUGGGAGAGGUGGCUGUUUUUUCAUAAUCCCAAGCCUCAGGAAAAGAGAAAGAAAAAAAAAAGAUGACAGAAAGGAAAAAAAAAUAAAUCUCCAGAAAUUGAUCUUAAAGAAAUGAAAAUCAAUGAAAUAUCUGAUAUCAAAUUCAAAAUAACCCCAUUAAAGAAGUUCAAUGAAAAAAAAAAAAAACAAAACAAAAAAAGAAGUUCAAUGAGCUUGAUGAGAACAAAAAGAGAAAACUAAACAAAACCCGGAAAAUGAGGAAUGAGAAUAUCAUCGAAAGACAGAAACAAACAAACAAACAAAACAGAAAUCCUGAAGCUGAAGAAUAUAACUGAAAAUUCACUAAAAAGGUUCAACAUCUGACUUGGGUAAGCAGAAGAAAGAACCAGAAAACUCAGAAACUGAUAAUUUGGUAUCUGAGAGGGAAAAAAAAUGAAGAAAAAUGAAAAAGCCUAAGGGAUAUAUGGGACAUUAUAAGGAAGGCAAUAUAUCCAUAUGGGUUUCCUAGAAGAAAGACAAAGAAAGAGAGAGAAAGCCUAUCAGAAGAAAUACUGGCUAAAAAUUUCCCACAGCUAAGGAAGAAAAGGGACACCAAAUCCACAAAGCUCAAUAGUUCCCUAUUAGGAUGAACCCAAAAGACACACACUGAAACAUGCAAUAAACUGUCAAAAGUCAAAGAGGAAAAGAGAAUCCUCAAAAUAGCAAGAGAAAAAUGACUCAUCAUGCACUAAGGAGUUCUCACAUUAUCAGCAGAUUUCCUAGAAUAAAUCUUAAAGGUCUGGAAGAAAUAGGAUAAUAUAUUCAAAGUAGUAAAAGGGGGAAAAAAACUUGACAAUUAAGAAUAUACCCAGCCAAACUAUCCUACAAAUAUGAAACAGAAAUAGACAGAGAAGUAGACUUUCCCACAUAAACAAAAGAUGAGAGAUACACUACAACUAGAACUUCACUACAAGAAAUGAUAACGGGACUCCUUCAAAUUAAAAUGAAAAAUGCUGACAUAAAAAAGAAAGCAUAUGAAAACAUAAAACUCUCUGAUAAGAAGGAUGUACUCAAACACAGAAUCCUAUAAACACUGUAUUGGUGCAUAAAUUACUCUUAAUUAUAAUAUAAAACCCAAAAGACCAUAGCAUAAAAAGAACUAUAAAAUUUUGUUAAUGGACUCACAGCAUAAAAAUGUAAUUUGUGACAUCAAAAACAUAAAAUGAGGGGGGAGAUAUAAAGGAGUAGAGGUUUUCUUAUAAAGUUAUUAACAUCUUAAAACAGGAACUCUCUUCCUUUGUUCAUGUGUUUUCUUUUUUUAAGAUUUUAUUUAUUUAUUUGAGAGAGAGAGAGGGAGAGUCAGCAAGAAAACACAAGCAGGGGGGAGGGGCAGAGGGAGAGGGAGAAGCAGACUCCCACUGGGCAAGGAGCCCUUACACAGGGCUCAGUCCCAGGACCCUGGGAUCAUGACAUGAGCCAAAGGCAGACACUUAACCAACUGAACCACUCAGGCAUCUGCUGUUUUGUUUCUUAAAUUUCACAUAUGAGUGAAAUCAUAUGAUAUUUCACUUAGUAUUAUACUCUCUAGUUCCAUUCAGGUCAUUGCAAAGGUCAAGAUUUUAUUGUUUUAUGGCUGAACAAUAUUCCAUUUUAUAUAUUUUAUUCUAUCAUUUAUAUAACCUUUUCUUUAUCCCAUUCAUCUACCAGUGGACACUCUGGCUGCUUUCAUAAUUUAGCUAUUGUAAAUAAUGCUGUCUAUUUCUAUGCUAUUACUAUACUGCUUUGAUUAGUACAGCUUUAUAAUAUGACUUGAAAUCUGGAAUUGUGAUACCUCUAGCUUUGCUUUUUUUUUUUUUUUUCAAGAUUGCUUUGGCUAUUUGGGUCUUCUGUUGUUCCAUAUAAAUUUUAGGAUGUUUUGUUCUAUUUCUGUAAAUAAUGCUACUGGUAUUUUGAUAAGGAUGGCAUUAAAUCUGUAGAUUGCUUUAAGUAGUAUACACAUUUUAACAAAUCUUUUCUUCCAAUCCAUGAGCAUGGAAUGUCCUUCCAUUUCUUUGUGUCAUCUUCAACUUGUUUGUCCAAUGUUUUACAGUUUUCAGAGUACAUGUGUUUCAUCUCAUUGCUUAAAUUUAUUCCGUGAUAUCUUAUUAUUUUGGGUGCAAUUUUAGAUGGGAUUGUUUUCUUAUU